rnacentral:rRNA from 1 species
AACGUAGGAGACAAACGUUAUCCGGAGUUACUGGGCGUAAAGGGCGUGUAGGUGGUUUCGUAAGUCUGGCGUGAAAUUUUUCGGCUUAACCGGGAAAGGUCGUCGGAUACUGCGGAACUAGAGGACGGUAGAGGCGUGUGGAAUUCCGGGUGUAGUGGUGAAAUGCGUAGAGAUCCGGAAGAACACCGGUGGCGAAGGCGGUCUGCUGGGCAGUUGCUGACACUGAGGCGCGACAGCGUGGGGAGCAAACAGG